UGCAUCGGCCGGGAAUCGAACCCGGGGCGCCGCGUGGCAGGCGAGCAUUCUACCACUGAGCCAAAAGC
rnacentral:tRNA from 1 species